rnacentral:rRNA from 1 species
CGGAGGAGCACGAAGGUUGGCUAAUCCUGGUCGGACAUCAGGAGGUUAGUGCAAUGGCAUAAGCCAGCUUGACUGCGAGCGUGACGGCGCGAGCAGGUGCGAAAGCAGGUCAUAGUGAUCCGGUGGUUCUGAAUGGAAGGGCCAUCGCUCAACGGAUAAAAGGUACUCCGGGGAUAACAGGCUGAUACCGCCCAAGAGUUCAUAUCGACGGCGGUGUUUGGCACCUCGAUGUCGGCUCAUCACAUCCUGGGGCUGAAGUAGGUCCCAAGGGUAUGGCUGUUCGCCAUUUAAAGUGGUACGCGAGCUGGGUUUAGAACGUCGUGAGACAGUUCGGUCCCUAUCUGCCGUGGGCGCUGGAGAACUGAGGGGGGCUGCUCCUAGUACGAGAGGACCGGAGUGGACGCAUCACUGGUGUUCGGGUUGUCAUGCCAAUGGCACUGCCCGGUAGCUAAAUGCGGAAGAGAUAAGUGCUGAAAGCAUCUAAGCACGAAACUUGCCCCGAGAUGAGUUCUCCCUGACCCUUUAAGGGUCCUGAAGGAACGUUGAAGACGACGACGUUGAUAGGCCGGGUGUGUAAGCGCAGCGAUGCGUUGAGCUAACCGGUACUAAUGAACCGUGAGG